rnacentral:rRNA from 1 species
GACGAACGCUGGCGGCGUGCCUAAUACAUGCAAGUCGAGCGGACGGAUGGGAGCUUGCUCCCAGACCGUCAGCGGCGGACGGGGGAGUAACACGUGGGCAACCUGCCUGUAAGACUGGGAUAACUCCGGGAAACCGGGGCGAAUACCGGAUAACUCUUUCCCUCACAUGAGGGAAAGCUGAAAGAUGGCAUCUCGCUAUCACUUACAGAUGGGCCCGCGGCGCAUUAGCUAGUUGGUGAGGUAACGGCUCACCAAGGCGACGAUGCGUAGCCGACCUGAGGGGGUGAUCGGCCCCACUGGGACUGCGACACGGCCCAGGCUCCUACGGGAGGCAGCAGUAGGGAAUCUUCCGCAAUGGACGAAAGUCUGACGGAGCAACGCCGCGUGAGUGAUGAAGGUUUUCGGAUCGUAGAUCUCUGUUGUCAGGGAAGAACAAGUACCGGAGUAACUGCCGGUACCUUGACGGUACCUGACCAGAAAGCCACGGCUAACUACGUG